rnacentral:rRNA from 1 species
GACGAACGCUGGCGGCGUGCUUAACACAUGCAAGUCGAACGAUGAACCCGUAGCUUGCUCUGGUGGAUUAGUGGCGAACGGGUGAGUAACACGUGAGUAACCUGCCCUGGACUCUGGGAUAAGCGUUGGAAACGACGUCUAAUACCGGAUAGGACCUUGGAUCGCAUGAUCUGGGUUGGAAAGUUUUUUCGGUCUGGGAUGGACUCGCGGCCUAUCAGCUUGUUGGUGAGGUAAUGGCUUACCAAGGCGUCGACGGGUAGCCGGCCUGAGAGGGUGACCGGCCAGACACGGAGGGAGAGACGGACGGCACACCUACGUGCGGCAGGCAUGGGGGAGGUAGAAUGAAGAACGGGAGGAAGAUGCAGCAAGGCCGCGUGCGGGAGGGAGGCCGUCGGGUUGUAAGCAGCUUUUAGUAGCGAAGAAGGGCGUCGGAUUGACGGUAACUGCUGAAGAAGGACCGGCUAACUACGUG